rnacentral:rRNA from 1 species
AUUGAACGCUGGCGGCAGGCCUAACACAUGCAAGUCGAGCGAGCGGCGGACGGGUGAGUAAUGUAUGGGGACUGCCCGAUAGAGGGGGAUAACUACUGGAAACGGUAGCUAAUACCGCAUACUAUCGGAUAACCCAUAUGGGAUGAGCUAGUAGGUGAGGUAAUGGCUCACCUGGGCGACGAUCCCUAGCUGGGCUGAGAGGAUGAUCAGCGACACUGGGACUGGUACACUGACCAGACUCCUACGGAGGCAGAAGUGGGGAAGAUUUCACGAUGGGCGCAGGCCGGAUGCAGCCAUGCCGCGUGUAUGAAGAAGGCCCUAGGGUUGUAAAGUACUUUCAGUCGGGAGGCGUUACCGACAGAAGAAGCACCGGCUAACUCCGUGCCAGCAGCCGCGGUAAUUC